rnacentral:rRNA from 1 species
UACGAAGGGGGCUAGCGUUGUUCGGAUUUACUGGGCGUAAAGCGCACGUAGGCGGAUCGUUAAGUCGGGGGUGAAAUCCUGGAGCUCAACUCCAGAACUGCCUUCGAUACUGGCGAUCUUGAGUCCGGAAGAGGUGAGUGGAACUCCUAGUGUAGAGGUGGAAUUCGUAGAUAUUAGGAAGAACACCAGUGGCGAAGGCGGCUCACUGGUCCGGUACUGACGCUGAGGUGCGAAAGCGUGGGGAGCGAUCCGG